rnacentral:rRNA from 1 species
UACGUAGGGGGCGAGCGUUGUCCGGAGUUACUGGGCGUAAAGCGCUUGUAGGCGGUCCACCAAGUUUGGGGUGACAGUUGCCGACUUAAUCGGCAAAGUGCCUCAAAGACUGGCGGACUUGAGGGCCACAGAGGGACAUGGAACUCCAGGUGUAGUGGUGAAAUGCGUAGAUAUCAGGAGGAACACCGGUGGUGUAGACGGCUCUCUGGACCAUAACUGACGCUGAGACACGAAAGCGUGGGUAGCAAACAGG